rnacentral:lncRNA from 1 species
AUGCGCAAGGAGCUACGAUGUAUCGAUUUUUUUAUAUCGAUCCUAUUGAUUGCUGCAAGUUGUGCCCACGGUCACCAGUCAAAGAACCACUCAGAGAUUGAUAAUCCUGUGGUGGAGUUUUUAAACGCCAAGAAUGAACAGCCACUUCGGCGGAUCAAUGUCAAUGAGCACUUCGACCCGUUAAGCAACAAUCAGCUUAAAACAGAACUCUUCUCCACGGACAGUUGCGAGGUAAAGGAUGGCCAUUACAGCUGCUGUGCCAUUCUCAAGCUGGCAGCUAUGGAUGUUCGUGAGCCGGUUUGCAUCGACUUUUCACCUAAAAAUCGAUCUACCGAGAUUUCAACCUUAAAAAGGAACGUGGAGUUGUUUGAAACGUCUCUAAGUGUUGGGAUGACACGCGCCUCGAUGACACAACGGUUUGAUUUAAAACCAGGAGAUUACUUGCAAAAUAUCUCAUUUCCACUUUGCAUACCCUGGUUCCCUGUCAUAACGGUUUGCGUGAAUGUUCACAACAUAACUUACGAUUUCACAAAUAUGUCAAUUAGAAGUUGUUUUAUGCUAACUGUUGGAAUCGUGAAUUUCCCAAUAAAUUUAUUUGCUCUAGAUUUAGACUGUAUAAAGUAUGCAAACCGAACAAUCGUCAAAGAGCCGCUGAACCAUCAAACACACCAGUCAAAUCAAACUGUUAAACCACAUGAGUUGGAUUAUCAAAACAAAGAACAUUUAACAUUUAAUUCACAGAUGAGUGAUUUAAGACCAAAUGUCGUACAAAACAGUCAUCGCAAGGGGGUUUACUUUGAAGAUCGUCCUAAAAGAAGUAUAUCCUUGAUGCAAUCUUCUCCACACCGAACGGCAGAUCCGAGUAUGAAUUCACAUCUAUCUUCUCUUCCGCCAAAACAAAUAAAGCAAACUAAUAUUACACCAUCAGACUUGAAAGUGAUCAAGCGCUCCCUUCGAUCGCAGGAUCCCCGCCCGGUGGAGCAACCCGCCAUCCUUCCGAGACAACUAGAAACACGCAAAGAGAAGCGGGACGUGCCCAAACUUCCUCCUAGAAGAGAAUAUCUACCAGAUGACCACAGACUUCGUAAUAGGCAGCAGCAAUCUAGACAGUUCCUCGCCGUAUUGAAUCUUGAAAGGACGUGGCCCCAUCAAUUUUUCAUCAGAUGA